GAACCUGUUAAGAAUCUUGGAGAGAUGAGGUAAAAUAGGCAUAGAUUUAAGAAAGAGGUAUAUCUAUUCAAAACAAGUGAUAUAAGUCGAAAGCAAUUUGAAAAAAUCAGAGCAAUUUUAGAAAAUAGUAGAAAAAGAACAAAACCAAGAAAACUUGACUUAUAUCAUGUGUUUUAUGGAGUGCUAUACGUCCUAAAAAGUGGCUGCCAGUAGA